AGUGAACGCUGGCGGUAGGCCUAACACAUGCAAGUCGAACGGCAGCACAGGAGAGCUUGCUCUCUGGGUGGCGAGUGGCGGACGGGUGAGGAAUACAUCGGAAUCUACCUUUUCGUGGGGGAUAACGGAGGGAAACUUACGCUAAUACCGCAUACGACCUACGGGUGAAAGCAGGGGAUCUUCGGACCUUGCGCGAUUGAAUGAGCCGAUGUCGGAUUAGCUAGUUGGCGGGGUAAAGGCCCACCAAGGCGACGAUCCGUAGCUGGUCUGAGAGGAUGAUCAGCCACACUGGAACUGAGACACGGUCCAGACUCCUACGGGAGGCAGCAGUGGGGAAUAUUGGACAAUGGGCGCAAGCCUGAUCCAGCCAUACCGCGUGGGUGAAGAAGGCCUUCGGGUUGUAAAGCCCUUUUGUUGGGAAAGAAAUCCAGCUGGUUAAUACCCGGUUGGGAUGACGGUACCCAAAGAAUAAGCACCGGCUAACUUCGUGCCAGCCGCCGCAGUAA
rnacentral:rRNA from 1 species